ACUCAGACCUGGGCCAGGACUCAGCCCUGGGGUGUGCAGGGGGGUGGCUCAGGCAGGUUGAAGAUGCCUGGACCUCGGCCUGGGUUCCCCACUCUGCCCUUCCCACCCUCCCCAGCCUUAGACUUUGGUCCAAACCUCACUGUGCCCCCACCCCAGGGACUUGGAGAUCCAGGAGUGCCACUUCCUGGAUAAGGAAGAUUGGGGCCCCCAGCAGACCUCGAAGGAAAUGAGCCAUUUGCAUAAUAUCUGCAUGAGGCUCCGGGAGUCGCUGAGCUCUAUCCAAGCAGACAACCUGGCUCUGGGGGAGAAGCUGCAAGACCUGGUGAGACCCUCAGCCCAGGCCCCCUGCCUGUGUUUUGCCUCCUCCCCCGGCUCCCAGCCCAGCUCCUGUGCUGGCAGGUCGCAGGCAGUCCUGCCUGGGGUCGGCUGCCCACCUCUGGCCCUGGCAACCCCUUGUUGCAGCCCAACUCCUUGUAUAUGAGCCUAAAGGAGAAAGCGAAGUGCAUCCUGGAGCGAGAGAGCGCCGUGGAGGAGGGAGCCCAGGGCGGCCAGGAGGGGGCGCUGUGCCAGGUACCGGGUCCUCCCCCAGUCCUGGGUGGGGAGAGAUGUGUUUGCCCCGCGUGGCUCACUCUGCUCCCCUUGCCGGCAGCCACCCGGCUCCCAGAAGGCCGAACUCGUCACCCUGCAGCCUGACACUCCCCGAGAUCACGGAGACCGAUGUCCGCCCUAGCCGGGACACCCCCCGGGAAGCCGUUCAGGCCGCUCCUCUCCCCCUCCCGCAGUAAACUUCUCCGCAGCUGGGUCGCGGCUCCCCGCCUGUCUGUGGGCCCUGGGAACCGGGAGGCGCAGGCACCAAGCAUGGUCCCUAGGCCAUCCUGUCGCAUCCCCCUCCCACAUCCGUUGGCUGGCCCCGGCUGCCCCGAGGAGGGUCCAGGCUGGUUGGUAUCAGUCUCAAAAUCAGCGUCCCGGUGAUAAGGGCUGGGGUGGGACUGGGAGGGGGCCGCACCCACGGCUGGGAGCUGGAGAGGACGGAAGCACCAGGUCUAACUCCAAAGGGCAGAAGACUAGGGAGGGGCGGGAAGACAAGUCUCUUCCUCUUUGUCAGCCACGGGGGAGGGGGUAGUGAGACCCCCCCUCCCCAAGGGCCCAACACCCAAACAAUUUCAGGCCUGGAGAUGCUUCUAGAAUUUGAAUUCCUACUCCCACCUCCAGCCAGGGUCUCCCAGGGCCUCCCUGGAGACCUGCACCCCUCCACCAAUGGGGUGAUCCCUGUUCUGGGCCACAGAUCCAACGCCCCACCCAUCCAUAGGCCUGCAUAUCCAGCUGUGGCCACUGUGCCCUGGUCACCAUCAGGCCUUCAGGGCUUGUGCCCAUCAGCCUUGCUGCCCUCAGACUCUGACCAGCUCUGGGGAGCCUUUCUAGGCAUCCCCUGACUCCUGAUAAAACGAGAAAGAGACACAGAGACACGCAGAGAAUGUAUAGAUAGAAUAUUAAAACAAACUUAGAAAUUAUUCCCAUACAACUAGACAAGGAGCCUGCUUUAGAUUUUGUUUUUUUAACUUCCUAUUGAGGGAGCUGACAGCCAGCAAUGACAAAGCCAGUUUAAAGGUGGAGGAGUUCCUGUCGUGGCUCAGUGCUUGGCGAAUCCAACUAGGAACCAUGAGGUUGCAGGUUCGAUCCCUGGCCUCACUCAGUGGGUUAAGGAUCCGGCAUUGCCAUGAGCUGUGGUGUAGGUCGCAGAUGUGGCUUGGAUCCCGCAUUGCUCUGGCUGUGGUGUAAGCCAGCAGCUACAGCUCUGAUUAUACUCCUAGCCUGGGAACCUCCACAUGCUGUGGGUGCAGCCCUAGAAAAGACAAAAAAGAAAGAAAGAAAGAAAGAAAGAAAGAAAGAAAGGAAGGAAAGCAAGAAAGAGAAAGAAAGAAAAAGAAAGGAAGAAAGAAAGAAAGGUGGAUACAAGAAAAAUAACACGCAGGAGUUCCCAUUGUGGCUCAGUGGGUUAAGAACCCAACAUAGUGUCUCUGAGGAUGCAGGUUUGAUCCCUGGCCUCACUCAGUGGGUUAAGGAUCCAGCAUUGCCACAAUCUGUGGUGUAGGUCACAGCUGCAGCUUGGAUCCAGCUUUGCCGUGGCUGUAAUGUAGGCUGGCAGCUGCAGCUCUGAUUUGACCCUUAGCCCGGGAACUUGCAUAUGUUGCAGCACGUGAGGUCAUAAAAGGAAAAAAAGAAAAA
rnacentral:lncRNA from 1 species